UACAGAGGUCUCAAGCGUUGUUCGGAUUCAUUGGGCGUAAAGGGUGCGUAGGCGGCGCGGUAAGUCGGGUGUGAAAUCUUGGAGCUUAACUCCGAAACUGCAUUCGAUACUGCCGUGCUUGAGGACUGGAGAGGAGACUGGAAUUUACGGUGUAGCGGUGAAAUGCGUAGAUAUCGUAAGGAAGACCAGUGGCGAAGGCAAUCCCCUGGGCCUGUACUGACGCUCAUGCACGAAAGCGUGGGGAGCAAACAGG
rnacentral:rRNA from 1 species